AGAGUUUGAUCCUGGCUCAGGACGAACGCUGGCGGCGUGCCUAAUACAUGCAAGUCGAACGCUUCUUUUCCCACCGGAGCUUGCUCCACCGGGAAAAGAGGAGUGGCGAACGGGUGAGUAACACGUGGGUAACCUGCCCAUCAGAAGGGGAUAACACUUGGAAACAGGUGCUAAUACCGUAUAACAAUCGAAACCGCAUGGUUUCAAUUUGAAAGGCGCUUUACGGUGCCGCUGAUGGAUGGACCCGCGGUGCAUUAGCUAGUUGGUGAGGUAACGGCUCACCAAGGCCACGAUGCAUAGCCGACCUGAGAGGGUGAUCGGCCACAUUGGGACUGAGACACGGCCCAAACUCCUACGGGAGGCAGCAGUAGGGAAUCUUCGGCAAUGGACGAAAGUCUGACCGAGCAACGCCGCGUGAGUGAAGAAGGUUUUCGGAUCGUAAAACUCUGUUGUUAGAGAAGAACAAGGGUGAGAGUAACUGUUCACCCCUUGACGGUAUCUAACCAGAAAGCCACGGCUAACUACGUGCCAGCAGCCGCGGUAAUACGUAGGUGGCAAGCGUUGUCCGGAUUUAUUGGGCGUAAAGCGAGCGCAGGCGGUUUCUUAAGUCUGAUGUGAAAGCCCCCGGCUCAACCGGGGAGGGUCAUUGGAAACUGGGAGACUUGAGUGCAGAAGAGGAGAGUGGAAUUCCAUGUGUAGCGGUGAAAUGCGUAGAUAUAUGGAGGAACACCAGUGGCGAAGGCGGCUCUCUGGUCUGUAACUGACGCUGAGGCUCGAAAGCGUGGGGAGCAAACAGGAUUAGAUACCCUGGUAGUCCACGCCGUAAACGAUGAGUGCUAAGUGUUGGAGGGUUUCCGCCCUUCAGUGCUGCAGCUAACGCAUUAAGCACUCCGCCUGGGGAGUACGACCGCAAGGUUGAAACUCAAAGGAAUUGACGGGGGCCCGCACAAGCGGUGGAGCAUGUGGUUUAAUUCGAAGCAACGCGAAGAACCUUACCAGGUCUUGACAUCCUUUGACCACUCUAGAGAUAGAGCUUCCCCUUCGGGGGCAAAGUGACAGGUGGUGCAUGGUUGUCGUCAGCUCGUGUCGUGAGAUGUUGGGUUAAGUCCCGCAACGAGCGCAACCCUUAUUGUUAGUUGCCAUCAUUUAGUUGGGCACUCUAGCAAGACUGCCGGUGACAAACCGGAGGAAGGUGGGGAUGACGUCAAAUCAUCAUGCCCCUUAUGACCUGGGCUACACACGUGCUACAAUGGGAAGUACAACGAGUCGCGAAGUCGCGAGGCUAAGCUAAUCUCUUAAAGCUUCUCUCAGUUCGGAUUGUAGGCUGCAACUCGCCUACAUGAAGCCGGAAUCGCUAGUAAUCGCGGAUCAGCACGCCGCGGUGAAUACGUUCCCGGGCCUUGUACACACCGCCCGUCACACCACGAGAGUUUGUAACACCCGAAGUCGGUGAGGUAACCUUUUUGGAGCCAGCCGCCUAAGGUGGGAUAGAUGAUUGGGGUGAAGUCGUAACAAGGUAGCCGUAUCGGAAGGUGCGGCUGGAUCACCU
rnacentral:rRNA from 1 species